CAUGUCUUUAUGAUGUUAAUAUAAAGUCUGCCCUCCCCUCUGAUAUUAAAUUUAAAGGCCGCGGUAUCUUGACCGUGCGAAGGUAGCAUAAUGAUUUGUUCUUUAAUUGGGGACUAGAAUGAAAGGUUGCACGAGAAGUUAGCUGUCUCUGGUGUAAAUAUUGAAAUUAACUUUUAAGUGAAAAGGCUUAAAUAAGCUAAGGGGACGAUAAGACCCUAUAAAUCUUUACAUUGGCGCUUUAUUUUUGAGCAUUUAAGUGAAGAUUUGAAGGCAAAGUUUGCUAGUGUUUUGUUGGGGCGACAGGAGUAUAAAGGUAACUGCUUUGAAAAUAAAAUUAAAUAUAUUUAAUUUGAAAGAAAGAGAUCCUUCUAUGAGGAUAGCAGAACAAGUUACUUUAGGGAUAACAGCGUAAUUUCUUUUGAGAGUUCUUAUCGAAAAAGAAGAUUGCGACCUCGAUGUUGAAUUAAGGUUCCUCCACGGGGGAGAAGUUGUGAGAGGAGGUCUGUUCGACCUUUAAAUCUUUACGUGAUCUGAG
rnacentral:rRNA from 1 species